ensembl:lncRNA
GAGACCAUGGGGGCACCAGGCAACAGAGGGCCAGGGCAGUACUGGGCGUAACUCCCUGAAGGUGACUAGGGCCAGAGGCGCCUGUGAUAGUGGUCCUCCUUUGCCAACCUCCACAGCCUUCUCCCUGGCUGCCGCCUCGGCACAGCUGCUCUGCCCCACUCCAACCUCCUCUGCCCAAGACCCAGAGAAAACACACACUGUGAAGGACCUCUUCUCUCAUCGCUAUAUUAAAGCAGUGUUUCAUCACACACAAGGCACAGCAGGGGAACUUCCUCCCUCAGCUAUCAACACAGGCUAUAAAAUGCUCCUGAUGUGACUCAGGCAUGUGAAAUGGCAAACAGGCCAGUGGAGACGGGAGGAGGCACUCCAGAUGGAACCCACCUAACACAGGAACACAACAGACUACAGAGUUGCAGUUCAACCAGUGGACCAAAGCAUGGAUGACUGGGGCUAGUACCCUGGAAGGGAAUGACUGGACUUGGACUUCCUUUCUAACAUCUUUUUUUGUCUUGUGAUGGUAGGAUCGAACCCAGGGCCUUGCACACACUAGGCAAGUGCUCCAUCACUGAGUUACACACCCAGCCCCGCAACAGAGUUUAACCCUUAGUAUGCAAAAGGAUUCUAGACACAUUCAAGAGUUUAAUUCAAACACAGAAAAAAAGAACUCCUGUCAGAAAAUCAUGAGGCAGACCACAUAAUCCAAACACUGGUACCUACGAGCCUUAAGAGAAAAGAAAGAUAAAUACUACCAAACAGAGAAACUGGGACUUCAGUGUUCAAAGAAGCGGGUUGGAGACUGAGGAUCUAUAAGAAACACACAUUCCCUAUAGACAGGUAAGAGAGGGAUGACUGUCCCACAGAAAUGGGGUCAAAGAACACAACAGGCGGUUCACAGAAGGAUCCACAUGCUGGACAGCACAAGGCAAAGACACCACACUCAUCAUGCAUCAUGGAAACCAGCCACUCUAAGCUGUUACUGCCCCCGAGCCCGAUGAGUCAAGAGAGACACCUCAGGCCACUGCUGAGCAGAUGCAGGACGAGGGUCCUCCACCUGGGACCACCUUUUAGAUCUCUCUGGAAACUCAUCUGACAAGAUCUGUCAAAAUAAAGACACACAUGCCC